AGUGAACGCUGGCGGUAGGCCUAACACAUGCAAGUCGAACGACAGCACAGUAAGAGCUUGCCCUUACGGGUGGCGAGUGACGGACGGGUGAGGAAUACAUCGGCAUCUACUUUUUCGUGGGGGAUAACGUAGGGAAACUUCCGCUAAUACCUCAUACGACCUACGGGUUAAAUCAGGAGGUCUUCGGACCUUGCGCGAUUGAAUGAGCCGAUGUCGGAUUAGCUAGUUGGCGAGGUAAAGGCCCACCAAGGCGACGAUCCGUAGCUGGUCUGAGAGGAUGAUCAGCCACACUGGAACUGAGACACGGUCCAGACUCCUACGGGAGGCAGCAGUGGGGAAUAUUGGACAAUGGGCGCAAGCCUGAUGGAGCCAUGCCGCGUGAGUGAAGAAGGCCUUCGGGUUGUAAAACCCUGUUGUUAGGGAAGAAAAUCAGCAUGUGAAUCUGCCGCUGUUCUGACGGUACCCAAAGAGUAAGCACCGGCUAACUUCGUG
rnacentral:rRNA from 1 species